ensembl:snoRNA
UUGCACUGUUCGUAACCUGUUAGCAAUGUAAUUCUGUUAAUGGGUUCCAUUCCGGUGCUACAUGAUAACCCCAAGAUAAUGGAAGGCUGGCUGCUUGUUUGCCUGCCCCCUUUAUUUUGGGGGACAUAA